UCGGAUGAGUAGUGAAACGUCUUCAUUGAUUACUCAGCAAGUCCAGUUGUUUUUAGAUUGACCUAUACUAGAUAUAACAUGACCUGGAUGAAUGAAAAUCUUCAUAGGCCUAUUAUUUGGAGUUUAAGAGGACCAUUGUGCAGAGAUUCAAAAUACUUGAGGAAAAACAAAUCUCUUUCAGAUGCCAGUCAGAAUUUGCAGAAUUUUUUGAAAAGCUGCAGCCAAUGAAAUGUCUCCUUCCAGAAGACUGUGCAAGAACGAGGAAAUGAGUCAGACCAGGGAACACUGAACCUUUACAACUGGUGAAACAUCAUUCCAGAGAACUAUCCAAGUGUUCUGUACAUCACAGUGUAAUAAGAAUAAAGAGGUUGUUCAA